rfam:Triticum aestivum genome assembly, contig: Triticum_aestivum_CS42_TGACv1_scaffold_031433_1BL
CAAGUACUCCCUCCGUCCCAAAAUUCUUCGUCUUAGAUUUGUCUAGAUACGGAUGUAUAUCUACAUCCGUAUAUAAACAAAUCUAAGACAAGAAUUUUGGGACGUAGGGAGUACAUG